CUACUUUUGAACUUUUAAACCUCUAAUUCCCAAAGAAAAUUUCCAAAAUCUAAAAGAGGAAUCAAAUUUCUUCAUAAAACUUUUCAAAAGCUUUUUGUUUUUCAGUCGUUUACCUCUCUCUCUCUCCCUUUUGUGUGAGUUCGAAAAGGGAAUAUGCUGCCCUAAAUUUUAAAUUUCCCUAGUAGUACAGUCCUUUGCUACAGUUGUCCAUCCUUUUCCCCCCAAUAUCAAAAUUUUCAUCACAAGGAUAAGGAAAACUGUACACAAUCCAGAACAUUCUGAUAUUUACCCCAUCUAAAAUCCCACUUUUAACCUUUCAAACACUGAUUAUUGCAACUUUACCUAUCAUAUCCUAAACUAUGACGGUUUUAUUACCUCAAAGCCCCUCUCCUGAAAAGCUUUCUAGAAUCUACCCCAGAAUUAAAUCCCAAUCAACCCCUUAAAGUCACUAAAAUUAAUCUUUCAAACUCCCUUUUAAAACAAAUGACAGUCAAAACUCCUAUUUCAAACAAUUGAAAACAAAUCAGAGAAAGAUUAAACAAAACCAAUUGAAAGAAAUAGAAACAUAAAUCGAACCUUAGUUAACCUACCAAGCGAAACAAGAACAUAUUGAAUGAACUAAGGCUAAAUAAAUGAUUAAUUAAUAAAAUAGCCAAAACUCUAAUUUAACUUAAGGAAUAACCAACAAACAAAAAGAGCAGAGAUUUGAGCUAUUGACUAGUAAUGAAUCUUCAUAGAAAAGGAAGAAGUGGAUACCAAUUAGACCUCAGAAUUUACGAGAAUGAUGACGACUUCAAUUCGAACUCCGACGGGCAAGAAUCUCGUCCAAUUGGUGAGAAUUGCAACAUGAAUACUAGCCGGACUUUCAUCUACCGCUAGUGCUUCAUGGCACAAUCCUCAAAAUACGCCAAGAAAGAGAAAAGGCAGAGGUUUCAAACUAUUUUGGAUAAUUAGUGAUUAUUUGCUCGGAAUCCGGCAAAUCUGUGAGAUAGGAUGAUCUUCAAAAUUGAAAUGGCCUUCUUCAAUGAAGAACUGGGGAAUUCGUGUAGUUUUCAUCAUGAAUUGAGGACCAAAUUAAGAAAAUUAUAGCAAAGGAAAAAUGUUCGGAUUUUUAUUUCUUAGAUCUUAAAUUUGGAGAAACUAGGUGGCCUUUUUGAGAAAUCAAUGGCGGAAUAUGAAUAGGGAGAUGAUAAGGGUUGCAUGGUUAAAAGCUGGAUGGGUCUGAAGGUGCUCCGCCGCCAUGAGACGAUUUUCGGGUGGCGGAGAUACGACGGAGAUAGACGGCGAUUUUGGAGAAGAGAGAGACCUAGGUUUCUUGUCUAUUUUGUUUAAACGGGUUAAUGAAGAUAUAGGGAAGGUCUGGGUCGUUUG
rnacentral:lncRNA from 1 species